rnacentral:lncRNA from 1 species
CUGCAGAGAGCACGGUGACCAUUGUCUCUUCUCGGUAGAAAAUACAAUCCUGGUAAAUCAGGAGUAUCGCUGUCGGCUUCCGCUGUCACCCUGAUGCGAACCUAAAGCCACCACUGUCACCAUGAUGCGAACCUAGAGCCACCGCUGUCACCAUGAUGCGAACCUAGAGCCACCUGGGAAGAGGGAACCUCAACUGAAGAAUCACCCAGAAGGUUCCUGCCCUGCUUGAGGUCCUAUCCUGACUUCCCUCAGUGACAGUCUGUUACCUCAGCGUGUAAGAUGAAGUCAACCCUUUCCUCCCCAAGUUGCUUUCAGUAACGGUGUUUAUCACAACAGUAGAAUCAUCAGGGUUAGCAGUGGAGGGGAGCAGUCCCCAGCCAUCUCACUGACCACCAAGUCUUGUCUCCUUGAUGGGACUUCAGCAGCCUUGGCUGUAAAAUGGGAAGAGACACUCGUCACAAGCCCCAGGAGCAUAAUGAGGUGGAGGUCUGAAAGGCUCAGGUCUUGUCACAGCCCAGAGCCACCAGCCAGGAAGCUGUCUCAGGAAGGUGGCAAUUCAAAUAGAAACCUCACCUUUAAAACCAGAUGCAGGCUGUUCAGAGAACGUGGACCUAUGUAGCCCAGAAGGAAGGAAAAAAAUUACCUCAAGAAGCCACUGAGCUUGGAACAUGUGGCCCAAAAUUGAAAUAAACCCAGAAGUCAUGGCUACCCUGAGGGUUGGGUUGAGAAGGUGAAGUCUGAAGGAUACAGGGUGAAGGAUAAGGUUGCUAAGCAACACAUCCUGAUACUAGAGUUAGCAGAAAUGACCUGGGAACCAGGGCAUCUGUAAAAUCUCACUCCCAUGCUGCUUCAAGGUCACCGGAAGGCAGACCCACCACAGCCACCUUGGGGGAACAAUCUAAGAAAGCAGAUACAUCCUUGCCCACUGGGAGGACGGACUCAGAAUGUCCUGCAGACCAGCCCCGAACUUACUGGAUCUUGGGUCCUUUUAUGGCAGAACUGUGUGGGGCCUGAAUGGUUGUACUGUAAGAACACCAGGCACGACCGAAUGACUCUGGUCUCCAGCCAUGGAUAAACAGACAGGGGAUGUUCCCUGCAUCCUAUGAGUUAGAUUCUAGCCAAUGACUGACCUCCCCACCAUCAGCUGCAUGAACCUUGCCAAAUUGAAACCUCUAUUUCUUAGCUGUUCCCACUGAUUGAAUGUAACACAAAGCAAGACACAGUUGUGUGGAAUCUCGAUAUGGAGUAAAUAUUUACCUUGUGUAAAACAGAGUUCUGGGAUCUCAAGACAUGAACACAAAAUCCAAAGUACUUAGAAGGCAAAAAGUUUACCUCCUGGGAGGGUUUUCUAGCUCCAGGGCAUCAAGCAAGCAUCCUAACAAAAGAGUCCCGUGCCUCUCUCUGAGUGGUCAGAGCUCAGCUUCCAUUCUCACAUGAUUGGCUAAUGCAGAGAGGAGAGGUUUCUAAGGAGAGUUGAACCGAGCAUAUAUUUUGAUUUCACAAAGCGUUGACCAUGGAGGAAUUUGAAUUUCUGCCCAGUGGCUUCUUUACAGUUUCUAGGGAGUUGUGUCUUAUUUAACCCUUCGAUAGAAAAGAUAGCACGUUUUGUUACAUUUCCCACAUUUUAAAAUAUGCUCCCCUGUAGCCCCUGACUUCUCUCCCUGAACCCUGUAUGUAACAGCCCUUUGCUGGAACUUUUUAGUUCUUGGACCAAAUCUCCCUUUUCAGACUUGAGUUUUUCUGCAAUUUAGCUAAAGAAAGAGUCCUAAGUUAUAAGACCAGCUGAGGCAAACCAGUUACCCUCCCAAUUCAACUGCUAAGAAAGCUGAGGGUCUUUCCAAGUUAUCAGCCUGCCAUCCCUGACCUUUCCAGCCAAUGAACACAAUAAAGGGUCAAUGCUCAUACCUGAUUGGGCCACGAGGCAUUCGGGGAAAUGUAGUCUCUAUUCCAGGGUACUGAGCCAUCACAUUGGGGAAAGAGGCAGUCUCUGCGGA